CACACACACACACACAACUUUUACAUUACAGGUCAUUUAGCUGACGCUUUAAUCCAAAGCGACUUACUUUGCAUUUUUAACCCAUGGCUUUUUAAAAACAUUUUUGUUGCAUUCACGCCAGAAAUGGACUCUUAUAACGUCUGUGAUUGUGCCUCACAGUUUUACAAUCAGCCCGAGGAAGAGGAAGAGGAAGAGGAAAACACUGGACUGAGCCUUUUGCAGACUGUACACUAAAGGAGAAAUGCCCCAGAGGAAUGUAACGUCCAUUGCACGAGAGGGAGAGAAACAAGAUGAGGCAGGCCGAUGGUAGAAAGAUAGAAUAUCUCCUGAAGAAGAGCAGUUGUACUAUUCUACAACAGCACUGUAUGUGCAGUACAGCUACAAUGUUAACCUUGUGUACAACAGUAUAUGUUAUAUCAAUACGGCCUUCAUUUAAAAAAAGGUUAGAAUUCAGAAGAAUCACUUGGUUUCACUUUAAAUAACAGUUACAAGCAGCGAUUUGAGAAGACUCAAACAUGAAGCUACCAGGAGCCCCAUUAUCCUGCAGUGCUGUCAUGUUAGUACAAGACACUUUCUAUAAGCAUUCUCACAGCUGCAAAUAAACAGGUGAGCGUCACGUCUUUCCCGAGUCACAGUGGCGCAGUGGAAGGCGGAAUACACAAAAGCACCUGAAGCGAGGCGAGUCACACCAUGAAGCGGAAAGAACGUGAUGACAAACUGCUGCUGGAACCUCACCAACUAAUCUGAGAAGGAACAUUUCUGAGGGUUUUCAGUAGUAUCAGUACACUACAAUGGACAGACACACACACGCGCACGCAGACACACACACCCAGCAGGCGAAUAAUGAAGAAGGUAUGUGUGAGGUCGACUGAAGGCUACUUAUAUUCACACGCACUUAACGUGACACUCGUUUUAGGUUUUGACAGGUAGAAAUAUGUCAGAUUAUGAGAUAAUCGACUCGACUUGCUUGUCGUGUUUUUGUCUCUUUUGUUCCACAAAGAGGACCCUGACGUCUUGUGGCUUCAGAUCCAGUUUAUUUUAUUUGCCAUUUAAUAAGACAUCUAAUAGUUAUGAGUCAGCCCCAUAGUUGAGUAACGUGUGUGAAGGUGUGUGUCUGCGC
ensembl:lncRNA